CUACGGGUUGCACCAGUGGGGAAUAUUGCACAAUGGACGAAAGUCUGAUGCAGCAACGCCGCGUGGAGGAUGACACAUUUCGGUGCGUAAACUCCUUUUAUAUAGGAAGAUAAUGACGGUACUAUAUGAAUAAGCACCGGCUAACUCCGUGCCAGCAGCCGCGGUAAUACGGAGGGUGCAAGCGUUACUCGGAAUUACCGGGCGUAAAGAGCGUGUAGGCGGGUUUGUAAGUUGGAUGUGAAAUCCUAUGGCUCAACCAUAGAACUGCAUCCAAAACUGCUUACCUAGAAUAUUGGAGAGGUAGAUGGAAUUUCUGGUGUAGGGGUAAAAUCCGUAGAGAUCAGAAGGAAUACCGAUUGCGAAGGCGAUCUACUGGAACAUUAUUGACGCUGAGACGCGAAAGCGUGGGGAGCAAACAGGAUUAGAUACCCCUGUAGUC
rnacentral:rRNA from 1 species